rnacentral:rRNA from 1 species
AGUGAACGCUGGCGGUAGGCCUAACACAUGCAAGUCGAACGGCAGCACAGUAAGAGCUUGCUCUUACGGGUGGCGAGUGGCGGACGGGUGAGGAAUACAUCGGAAUCUACUUUUUCGUGGGGGAUAACGUAGGGAAACUUACGCUAAUACCGCAUACGACCUACGGGUGAAAGCAGGGGAUCUUCGGACCUUGCGCGAUUGAAUGAGCCGAUGUCGGAUUAGCUAGUUGGCGGGGUAAAGGCCCACCAAGGCGACGAUCCGUAGCUGGUCUGAGAGGAUGAUCGGCCACACUGGAAAUGAGACCCGGUCCAGACCCCGACGGGAGGCAGCUGGGGGGAAUUUGGGCAAAGGGGCGAAACCCUAACCCAGCCAUACCGGGGGGGUGAAGAAGGCCUUCGGGUUGUAAAGCCCUUUUUUUGGGAAAAAAAAGCAGCAGGUUAAUCCCCCGCUGUUCUGACGGUACCCAAAGAAUAAGCCCCGGCUAACUUCGU